GUGGGGAAUUUUGGACAAUGGGCGCAAGCCUGAUCCAGCCAUGCCGCGUGUGUGAAGAAGGUCUUCGGAUUGUAAAGCACUUUAAGUUGGGAGGAAGGGCAGUAAGUUAAUACCUUGCUGUUUUGACGUUACCGACAGAAUAAGCACCGGCUAACUUCGUGCCAGCAGCCUCGGUAAUACGAAGGGUGCAAGCGUUAAUCGGAAUUACUGGGCGUAAAGCGCGCGUAGGUGGUUUUGUAAGUUGGAGGUGAAAUCCCCGGGCUCAACCUGGGAACUGCCUCCAAAACUGCAUGACUAGAGUACGGUAGAGGGUAGUGGAAUUUCCUGUGUAGCGGUGAAAUGCGUAGAUAUAGGAAGGAACACCAGUGGCGAAGGCGACUACCUGGACUGAUACUGACACUGAGGUGCGAAAGCGUGGGGAGCAAACAGGAUUAGAAACCCUAGUAGUCC
rnacentral:rRNA from 1 species